UUAAUAUUAAGAAAAUUAAGAUUAUUUUAAUGGGGGUUAAAGUAUUUUAAUAGAAAUAAUUUAAAGAUUUAUAGUGAAUUAGUAUUGUAAAAGAAUUUUGAAAUAAUUUAAAUAAUAAAUUAUUUAAAAGUAAUUUUUAUUUAGUGUAUCUUGUGUAUCAGAGUUUAUUAAUAAAUAUUUUUAGAAUAAUAAUAAUUCUCGAAUUUAAGAGAGAUAAUUAAUUAUAAAAGUUAUUGUGGCAUAAAUAUUUUAAAUAAUUAAUUGGAAAUGAAAUGUUAAUCGUUCUUAAAUAUAUCUAGUUUUUUUAGAAAAAAAUUUAAUUUUAAAUUUAUAAUUAAUUUAUUGAUUAAUUAAUUAAUCAAUAAAAAUUUAAAUUUUAUAAUUUAAGGGAUAAUCUUUAAAUUAAAUAAAUAUAAUAUGAAAAUUAUAUUUUAUUUGAAAAUUAUAUAAUUUAAAUUGUUAAUAAAUUUUAAUUUAUUAUAAAUAAUUUCAAUAAAAAUAAAAUUUAAUAAAAAAAUUUAUUUUUAUAUAAAAAAAUAAUUUUUAAUAAAGUAAAAUUAAUUAUAAUGAUAAAAUUAGUAUAUAAUUAAUUAUUUAAUAAAGUAAUUUAUUAUAAUUAAAUUAAUUAAAAGGAAUUCGGCAAAAUUUUAUAUUCACUUGUUUAUCAAAAACAUGUCUUUUUGAAAAUAAUAUAAAGUCUAGUCUGCCCACUGAUUUUUAUAAUUGAAGGGCUGCAGUAUAUUGACUGUACAAAGGUAGCAUAAUCAUUAGUCAUUUAAUUGAUGACUUGUAUGAAAGAUUGGAUGAAAUAUAAACUGUCUCUUAAUUAAUUUGUAGAAUUUAAUUUUUUAAUUAAAAAGUUAAAAUAAUUUAAAAAGACGAGAAGACCCUAUAGAGUUUUAUAUUUGAUUAAAUUAAAAUUAUUUAUAAAAUUAAAAAUUUAAAUUUAAUUAAUUAUUUUAUUGGGGUGAUAGAAAAAUAAAAUUAACUUUUUUUAAAUAUAAACAUAUAUAAGUGAGAAAAUGAUCCAAUUUUAUUGAUUAUAAGAAAAAAUUACCUUAGGGAUAACAGCGUAAUUUUUUUUUUUAGUUCAAAUAAAAAAAAGAGUUUGCGACCUCGAUGUUGGAUUAAGAUAAAAUUUAAAUGCAGAAGUUUAAAAUUUUGAUCUGUUCGAUCAUUAAAAUCUUACAUGAUCUGAGUUCAAACCGGUGUGAGCCAGGUUGGUUUCUAUCUUUUAUAAAAUAAAAUAUUUUAGUACGAAAGGAUUAAAUAUUUAAAUUAAAUUUUUUUUUUUUGAAUUUUAUUAAAUU
rnacentral:rRNA from 1 species